GACAGAGGGUGCAAACGUUGCUCGGAAUCACUGGGCGUAAAGGGCGUGUAGGCGGGAAGGAAAGUCAGAUGUGAAAUCCCUGGGCUCAACCCAGGAACUGCAUUUGAAACUCCCUUUCUUGAGUGUCGGAGAGGAAAGUGGAAUUCCUGGUGUAGAGGUGAAAUUCGUAGAUAUCAGGAGGAACACCGGUGGCGAAGGCGGCUUUCUGGGACGACAACUGACGCUGGAGACGCGAAAGCGUGGGGAGCAAACAGG
rnacentral:rRNA from 1 species